UGCCAUACUGGAUGCGUUCUGCUUCC
rnacentral:piRNA from 1 species